rnacentral:rRNA from 1 species
AUUGAACGCUGGCGGCAUGCCUAACACAUGCAAGUAGAACGAGUGGCGGACGGGUGAGUCAUGUCUGGGAAACUGCCUGAUGGGGGGGGAUAACUACUGGAAACGGUAGCUAAUACCGCAUACCAUCUAACGUGCCCACAUGGGUUUAGCUAGUUGGUGGGGUAAAGGCUCACCUAGCCGACGAUCCCUAGCUGGUCUGAGAGGGGGACGAGCCACACUGGACCGGAGACACGGCCCAGACUCCUACGUGAGGCAGCAGUGGGGAAUGUUGGACAAUGGGCGAAAGCCUGAUCCAGCCAUGCCGCGGGUGUGAAGAAGGUCUUCGGAUUGUAAAGCACUUUAGGUUGGGAGGCGUUACCUACAGAAUAAGCACCGGCUAACUUCGUGCCAGCAGCCGCGGUAAUUC